rnacentral:tRNA from 1 species
UUGCUCCGCAGACAGAGAGCGCUAGCUUCAGGUGCUAGUGACGCAUAGUCGUGUGGGUUCAAGUCCCGUCACCUGCACCA